CCUACGGGUGGCUGCAGUCGAGAAUCAUUCACAAUGGGCGAAACCCUGAUGGUGCGACGCCGCGUGGGGGAAUGAAGGUCUUCGGAUUGUAAACCCCUGUCAUGUGGGAGCAAAUUAAAAAGAUAGUACCACAAGAGGAAGAGACGGCUAAAUCUGUGCCAGCAGCCGCGGUAAUACAGAGGUCUCAAGCGUUGUUCGGAAUUAGUGGUCGUAAAGCGUGCGUAGGCUGUGUCGUAAGGCGUGCGUGAAAGGCGCGGGCUCAACCCGCGGACGGCACAUGAUACUGCGAGCCUAGAGUAAUGGAGGGGGAAGCGGAAUGCUCGGUGUAGCAGUGAAAUGCGUAGAUAUCGAGAGGAACAC
rnacentral:rRNA from 1 species